rnacentral:rRNA from 1 species
AGUGAACGCUGGCGGUAGGCCUAACACAUGCAGGUCGAACGGCAGCACAGUAAGAGCUUGCUCUUACGGGUGGCGAGUGGCGGACGGGUGAGGAAUACAUCGGAAUCUACUUUUUCGUGGGGGAUAACGUAGGGAAACUUACGCUAAUACCGCAUACGACCUACGGGUGAAAGCAGGGGAUCUUCGGACCUUGCGCGAUUGAAUGAGCCGAUGUCGGAUUAGCUAGUUGGCGGGGUAAAGGCCCCCCAAGGCGACGAUCCGUAGCUGGUCUGAGAGGAUGAUCAGCCACACUGGAACUGAGACACGGUCCAGACUCCUACGGGAGGCAGCAGUGGGGAAUAUUGGACAAUGGGCGCAAGCCUGAUCCAGCCAUACCGCGUGGGUGAAGAAGGCCUUCGGGUUGUAAAGCCCUUUUGUUGGGAAAGAAAAGCAGCAGGUUAAUACCCCGCUGUUCUGACGGUACCCAAAGAAUAAGCACCGGCUAACUUCGUG